GGGGAUGUAGCUCAGUUGGCUAGAGCAUCGUCAUGGCAUGACGGGGGUCGUGGGUUCAAGUCCCAUCAUCUCCACCA
rnacentral:tRNA from 1 species